GUGUUUGUAGAAAUAUAUGGUGGGAAUCUCCCUCCAUAAGGAUGGAAGAAAUCUUCUAACUUUCCUAUCACAAGUGGUUAAGUCUCUCCAUCCCCACCAGGGUGGAUCUUACCCCAAUUUUUG
rfam:Picea glauca, whole genome shotgun sequence.